UUCGCAAUGCCCGAAAGGGUGACGAAGCGACGCCGCGUGGAUGAAGAAGGCCUUCGGGUUGUAAAAUCCUGUCAGGAGUUAAGAAAUAUAAGUUUGAUAAUACCAAAUUUAUUUGACAAAGGCUCCAGAGGAAGCCACGGCUAACUCUGUGCCAGCAGCCGCGGUAAUACAGAGGUGGCAAGCGUUGUUCGGAAUUAUUGGGCGUAAAGAGCACGUAGGUGGAUUUGUUAGUCAGAUGUGAAAGCCUUUCGUUCAACGGAAGAAUUGCAUCUGAAACUACAAACCUUGAGUAUAGGAGGGGAGAGUGGAACUUCUGAUGGAGCGGUGAAAUGCGUAGAUAUCAGAAGGAACGCCGGCGGCGAAAGCGACUCUCUGGCCUAUAACUGACACUGAGUGUGCGAAAGCUAGGGGAGCAAACGGGAUUAGAUACCCCGGUAGUCCUAGCCGUAAACGAUGGGCACUAAGUAGAGGGGU
rnacentral:rRNA from 1 species